rnacentral:tRNA from 1 species
CGGAACGUAGCCUAGUGGCUUAAGGCGCUGCCUUCGGGAGGCAGAGAUCGUGAGUUCAAAUCUCACCGUUCCGA